ACGGAGGGUGCAAGCGUUAUCCGGAUUCACUGGGUUUAAAGGGUGCGUAGGCGGACAGGUAAGUCAGUGGUGAAAUCCCCGGGCUUAACCUGGGAACUGCAUUUGUGACUGCAUCGCUGGAGUGCGGCAGAGGGGGAUGGAAUUCCGCGUGUAGCAGUGAAAUGCGUAGAUAUGCGGAGGAACACCGAUGGCGAAGGCAAUCCCCUGGGCCUGCACUGACGCUCAUGCACGAAAGCGUGGGGAGCAAACAGGA
rnacentral:rRNA from 1 species